AGGACGAACGCUGGCGGCGUGCUUAACACAUGCAAGUCGAACGGAAAGGCCCGCUUGCGGGUACUCGAGUGGCGAACGGGUGAGUAACACGUGGGCAACCUGCCCUCAGCUUCGGGAUAACACUUGGAAACAGGUGCUAAUACCGGAUAAUAACUUUUCAUCGCAUGGUGGAUGGUUCAAAGUUUUUCGGCUGAGGAUGGGCCCGCGGCCUAUCAGCUUGUUGGUGGGGUAAUGGCCUACCAAGGCGACGACGGGUAGCCGGCCUGAGAGGGCGACCGGCCACACUGGGACUGAGACACGGCCCAGACUCCUACGGGAGGCAGCAGUGGGGAAUAUUGCGCAAUGGGCGGAAGCCUGACGCAGCGACGCCGCGUGAGGGAUGACGGCCUUCGGGUUGUAAACCUCUUUCAGCUCUGACGAAGCGCAAGUGACGGUAGGAGCAGAAGAAGCACCGGCCAACUACGCGCCAGCAGCCGCGGUAA
rnacentral:rRNA from 1 species